AAAUCAGCAGGGGAUCAAAUACUUAUUUCCAUCACUGUACAACUGCUUGUAGGUGACAACACAGGUAAAGGUGGUUUCCAUUAAGGGCUUGGGUGAAGGCAACCUUUUCUUGCUUACAGUUCAGUUCACAGUUGAGUUUCUCUGACUGAAAGACUAGCUUGUCUCCCCAAACCAUCAAAUAUUUAUGCUCCUAAUGCUGGAUGUUUUACAGACUGAAAGAAUCCUUAUUGCUGUGCAAUUGGCUUCCUUUACAAGCCCUACAUUCAAGAGAUAGAUAGAUGAAAACCUUUGGAUCGAUAGUCUCUGGAUGUUGUUGGACUGCAGCUCCCAUCGUCUCCAUCACAGUGACCUUCAAACAUUGUGAUGGGGAUGAUGGAAGCUCUAGUCUAACCACAUCUGGGGACCCAAGUUUGAGAACCCCUGGAUGACUUGUAUAAAUGAAUGGACCAUCACAGAUAUAACACAGAAGAGGUAGAAUGUUCAUGUUGGGCUGGUUCAGAGAACCCAUGGCUUCAGGUUCCAUUUAUGACCCAGUGAUCCAUGGCUUAUUGGAUCACAAACACAGCCCAGAGCUGGCUGAGCCCAUGUGCUUCCUCCUCAGGAGUUUGUGGCUUAGCUGUGGUUUAGAAAUCAAGGUUAUGAAACGGGUUUGUAGACAAACAAAUUAAAAAUUGAACAAACUGAACAGUGGGACCUAAAGGCUAUGAAAUACAGAGUAGUGUUUGAUCAAUCUUAUGUAAAGCUUAGUAUGAUAUAAGUGCCAUGAGGAUUCAUAACAGCAGAUGUGGGAAAAGUGGAUAGAGAAGAUUUUCUUCCUCUCCCAUAACCCUGGAAUCCUGAGUAAUCUAAUGAAACUGAUUGGCCAAAGAUCAAGGACAAACGAAAGGAAGUGUGUCUUUCACAAAAGCGUUUGUUGUAAUGUUAACCUUCUAGAUGCUGUAGGAAUUUUCUUUUUUUCUUUUAAUGCUGCAAUGGACUUACGUGGCCAUCCCACUGCAAAUUGUUAGCCUGAGUGUCUUCUAAAGUUUGCCUUGGGUCUAUACUUCACUGUUUGAGUUGGAUUACCUGUGUUUGUUCCCCUUUACCUCUGGAUGCUGUUCUUUAAGCUCCAACGUGUCAAGCUCAACUUCUGUUCACUGCAUCUGGAGCAAUAAAUAUAAUUCUGGAAUUCUUCAUAACAAAUAAGGAUGCCUGCACUGAGGCACCUUUAAACAGUAUAGUUGGUUUUCUUUUCUAUUUGCAACUUUUCAUUGCCUUGACAGAAAUAAUUUCCCAAGAAGUAAGUAGGCCAUAACAAUGUGCAGAAUUACAAAUAUCAUGUGGCCAAUCUUCUACUGUUUACCAGCCAGCUCUCAGUGCCUAAAUCUUAAAAUAAUCUCUGUGCUGUGAAUGGUGGAUGACUACAUGUGAGCACUGUCUGCUGCAAGAUAUACAGGAUGGGUAAGACAUCUGUUUGCAUGCCCGGUUCAACCCCCGGUUCAAUCCCCACCAUCUCCAAUUAGGACUGGAAAAGACUCCUACUUUAAAUCUUGGAGAGUUGCUACCAGUCAGUGUAGACAAUACUGACUCAGUAUAAGGCAGCUUCUUAUGUUCUUAGUAGUCCUCUAGGCUAGAUCGUGGGACAAUAAGCCUCCUGCUUCACACACUGAAGCCCCUGAGAUAAUCAUAACCUAGUUCAAGUCCAUGCUUUCACACACUCAUUUACAGCCAGCCCAUAAUAAUUUGCUGCCUGAAGUGAAACACCAGAAGGUCCUAAAGGAGAACGUUAAAACUCUUUUUCUAUUAAAACCACACGCCCAAUUCCUUCCUUCCUUUUCAAGUCUCCCAUUCUUUUUUUUAAUCUGGGGCCUGUUCACAAGAUUAGAAAGAGGACCCACCAUGAACAUGUCUAUUCUUCACCCCACUGGCACAUCCUUUUAUCACGUGGGAAUGGGCUGUUAACAAAAUUUAAAAUCUGAUGCCCCAAGAAUCCAAAUUCUGUUAAGAAAGGCUACAUUUUGCACUUCUAUGCGGGCAAGCCACACAUUUACCUAUGGUACAUGUGUUUGUAAGAUGCAUCCUUCAACCCAGAAGCACAUCUUUCUUAAUGAAAAACUUCCAUGGGGAUCUAAUCCUGAUUAGGACUACGAGGAAGGGCUAACUUUCCUCCAUGCCAUAUUCCCACUAAAAAUUUCCCAUUCAAAGUUCCUAUUUGCCCCACAAUUAGUAUUGUGGGGCAAAUAACUACUAGUAGAGAUAUAUUUUUAGUGUGUUUCCUGAUUAAUCUGAGGUGCCUUUUUCGUGUAUUGAUUGAUGAAAAAGUAAUUAGAUUCAGUUAUUAAAGGUUGCUGUCUUUAUAUGGUACAA